rnacentral:rRNA from 1 species
UACGGAGGGGGCUAGCGUUGUUCGGAAUUACUGGGCGUAAAGCGCACGUAGGCGGCUUUUUAAGUUAGAGGUGAAAGCCCGGGGCUCAACUCCGGAAUUGCCUUUAAGACUGCAUCGCUAGAAUUGUGGAGAGGUAAGUGGAAUUCCGAGUGUAGAGGUGAAAUUCGUAGAUAUUCGGAAGAACACCAGUGGCGAAGGCGACUUACUGGACACAUAUUGACGCUGAGGUGCGAAAGCGGGGGGAGCAAACAGG